AUUGAACGCUGGCGGCAGGCCUAACACAUGCAAGUCGAGCGGUAGAGAGGUGCUUGCACCUCCUGAAAGCGGCGGACGGGUGAGUAAUGCCUAGGAAUCUGCCUGGUAGUGGGGGAUAACGCUCGGAAACGGACGCUAAUACCGCAUACGUCCUACGGGAGAAAGCAGGGGACCUUCGGGCCUUGCGCUAUCAGAUGAGCCUAGGUCGGAUUAGCUAGUUGGUGAGGUAAUGGCUCACCAAGGCGACGAUCCGUAACUGGGCUGAGAGGAUGAUCAGUCACACUGGAACUGAGACACGGUCCAGACUCCUACGGGAGGCAGCAGUGGGGAAUAUUGGACAAUGGGCGAAAGCCUGAUCCAGCCAUGCCGCGUGUGUGAAGAAGGUCUUCGGAUUGCAAAGCACUUUAAGUUGGGAGGAAGGGUCGUUACCUAAUACGUGACGAUUUUGACGUUACCGACAGAAUAAGCACCGGCUAACUCUGUGCCAGCCGCCGCGGUAAAAC
rnacentral:rRNA from 1 species